CAACAGCAAAAUUUUGAAUAUUGUUUGUCAAAAUUUUGUAAAAAAAUAGAAAAAAAAAAGUAAAAUACUUUUCUUAAAGACUUGAAUUGAAUUGGUUGAAAAUUUUGCCACUAAUUUCUCAGACACGAAUUGGUCCAUCGGCUGUACAGCAAGAUUUCUAUUUCAUAGAAAGCAAACAUUCAAAAUUGGAAUAUUUACGGCCUACAAAUAUCUACAAAUCCAUACAGUCAUCCCUACCGAUAUUGCAAAUUCUAUCACGUCCAACAAGAAUGAUGCAAUUCCCCGCUGUUUGAAGGAUCCAACCGGAGAGUUAAUCUUUGGGGACUUAGACUUACCACUAUGCCUAGAAUUGAAGUCCCUACAAUUGGACACAAAUGUCCAUUUUUCAAGCCGGAUUUGUUGUUCAAAAUUAUUUUCCUAAUGGCGAUGAAGAAACACUUUUAGACAUUCCCAUAAACGCUCAAGAGUUUGAGGAAUAUGUAAAUUUUGAUAAGGAUACUGAAUGCUUUGGCCCACUUACAGAGGAAGAAAUAUUGUCAGGUAUUUUGGAAGAUAACGAUGGCGAGGUGUCACCAUCUGAAGAUACUACGGAAAAUACUUUUGAAGUGAACCCACCCUCUUUUGCAGAAGCGCUGACAGCACUAGAAACAGUGAAGAGAUAUAUGGAGAGCAAUAAUCUUGAAUUUGAUGAACUUGAAAUGUUAGAAGAAAAGUUUUUUUAAAAAACAAAGUUUCAAAACAUGCGUCAAAAGAAAAUUACUGACUUUUUUGCUAUUUAAAACUAUUUUUGAAAUCAACUUUAUUUUAAAUGAUCUCAUAAAAAAUACAUAUGUUUUAAAUCAGGGCAAGGCAGAGAGCAUGGUAGAAAUACCAGGUAGCAACAUAGGCGAAAAUUACAACAAAGCAACUUUUUUGGAAACUUGAUAUGUCAAAGUUGUAGUCAGGGCGAAUUGAUUUGAAGUACAAAAUUUGGGGCAAAUUAUUUUUCCAAUCAAAAUAUUGAAUUAAAAAUUUUCAAAAUUGUGUUUUUUUUCUAUUACAAAAGCAAAUAUUCAAAACUUCCAACAUCGAUUGAAAGUAAUGCUGAAGCCGCUGCAUCUUGGUUUGAUUAUAGCACGUUCAAUACAACAUUUUUGAAAAUCACAUAGACUGGAAAUGGAGUGAUUGUAGUCUCCAGCGCACCAACGAAGGACAUUUGCGAUAAUAGAUGUCCAAUCGUUAUCUCUUCAUCAUCCUUACACAGCAUGCAGUCUUGGUAACGUUGGCAACGUUGAUUUCAUAUUCAACAGCGAUAAUGUUCUUUAAAGGAAAUAUCCGGAAAAUUAUUUUUGAUGCUUUAAAAUUAGGUUUUGUGGUGGUUCUGGGGUGUACCCUUUUUUCUUUUGCUACAUCGUCAGCUUUCUCGCUGUAGUGACAUGCUACCUAAAAGGUACUUUAGGGUAUAUUUACUCCUCAGGCUUACUUAAGAUUUGGAUCAAAGAUUGCAGAAGGGGGGGCUGAGUCUACUGUGAGUCCAGGCAUAUUAUUUGCUCAGCUAUGAAAUGUAUAGCAGACAGGAAGUCUUUUAAGCAUAGAUAACUUUAAUACAUUCGAACAAUUUGAAAUAAAAAAAUUAUCUCAAUAUUUAAUCACACCCCAAAAAUUGCCAAUAUUUUGUUCCCCAAACCAAUCCAAUAUGCUUUGGAAUCAUUCACCUUUCACUGUUGAAGCCCUAUAGUGUAUAACAUAGUUGAAAAUCCGUACAAAUAAGAUGAUGAAAUUCAUUCGAACAAUUUGAAAUAAAAAAAUUAUCUCAAUAUUUAAUCACACCCCAAAAAUUGCCAAUAUUUUGUUCCCCAAACCAAUCCAAUAUGCUUUGGAAUCAUUCACCUUUCACUGUUGAAGCCCUAUAGUGUAUAACAUAGUUGAAAAUCCGUACAAAUAAGAUGAUGAAAUUCCAUGUAUCGGUUUAUUUCCUAAAUGAAAUUGAUUCCCUGUUUCACUUAUUUCAAAUAUCCACGAAUUUUAGAUCUCCAUAUUACCUAUGCCUACCAUAUGUUGAAUAUACACUUUUUCCCUCAUAUUCUAUAAAAACGUAAAAUCUCGAUUUUCUAUCAAUAGCAUUGUUAAAGUUUGAAAUCAUGCAACAAUUUUCUUAUGUGUAAAUGAAGGCGAAUUCAAAUUACAACAAUUUUUUGACAUAUCAAAUUGAUACCAGCUGGCCUGAAAGGGUUACCUUGUAAUUCUAC